GACCUGUUAGCUCAGUUGGUUAGAGUGUGGUGCUAAUAACGCUAAGGUCGCGGGUUCGAUCCCCGUACGGGCUA
rnacentral:tRNA from 1 species